AGUCCCAGUAGGAGGUUUGACUAAGAUCAAUCAUGACGACUUACAGUGACAAAGGGGCAAAGCCUGAGAGAGGCCGAUUCCUCCACUUCCACUCUGUGACCUUCUGGGUUGGCAACGCCAAGCAGGUAGAAGCCGGGGCAAGGUGCUGGAGUGAGCAGACGGCAGGGCAGAGGGCUGCCUGACAAGGGCAGGCCUCCAGCAGGGUCUGUGAUUGGCCCUUGGGAGGGAGGAUCAGGCCAGGGGUGGGCCAGAUACUCUGAAUCCUAAUUACACCAGCGGGAAAGUUAUCUGUCAGCAAAAUGUGCAGGCAGCAGUCUAUCUUCCCAGGAGGGUCUCUGCCCCUGAGGCAAUAGGGCAGGCAGGCUGAGGGGGGCCAGGGGCUCUCUUGCGGAAGUCCCCCAUGCUGGCCCCUUGACCCUCAUGAACCCUGCUGCAACCCUGUGAUUCAGGCCACGUCAUUCUACUGCAGCAAGAUGGGCUUUGAACCUCUAGCCUACAGGGGCCUGGAGACCGGUUCCCGGGAGGUGGUCAGCCAUGUAAUCAAACAAGGGAAGAUUGUGUUUGUCCUCUCCUCAGCGCUCA
rnacentral:lncRNA from 1 species